rnacentral:rRNA from 1 species
AUGAACGCCGGCGGCGUGCCUAAUCCAUGCAAGUCGAGCGAACAGACGAGGAGCUUGCUCCUCUGACGUUAGCGGCGGACGGGUGAGUAACACGUGGAUAACCUACCUAUAAGACUGGGAUAACUUCGGGAAACCGGAGCUAAUACCGGAUAAUAUAUUGAACCGCAUGGUUCAAUAGUGAAAGACGGUUUUGCUGUCACUUAUAGAUGGAUCCGCGCCGCAUUAGCUAGUUGGUAAGGUAACGGCUUACCAAGGCAACGAUGCGUAGCCGACCUGAGAGGGUGAUCGGCCACACUGGAACUGAGACACGGUCCAGACUCCUACGGGAGGCAGCAGUAGGGAAUCUUCCGCAAUGGGCGAAAGCCUGACGGAGCAACGCCGCGUGAGUGAUGAAGGUCUUCGGAUCGUAAAACUCUGUUAUUAGGGAAGAACAAAUGUGUAAGUAACUAUGCACGUCUUGACGGUACCUAAUCAGAAAGCCACGGCUAACUACGUG